rnacentral:lncRNA from 1 species
CCUUUCUCUAUCACCAGGUAAUUGGAAGCAGAAAAAAACCAGUCCCUGACCCCUGCUCUGCUUUAAGCUCCUUGUCACUGCUCAUAGCAGCCCUGUUCUGUUCUCCCCAACGCCGCCACCCAAAUCCUGUUCCCCUGGGAGAAGAAACCCUACCCCCACCCGCCCCUUUCAGCUCUGCCGCCAGGAGACUGGCUUGUCUUGGGGAAGUCACAGGUUUCAUUUUGUCACUUAGAAGCUGUUCCAGCCAGGAAGGGAGCCCAAGUUGACUUGAAGCCAGACCCUUAAUUGGAUUGGGUUCCUAGGGAGGCCAUUAGCUCUCUCUGCAGCUCUGGAGAGAGGAAGCACUUCCUCCCCCACCCGGCUGCACCCCUACUCAUUGCAGCUGAAUCCUGGAUGGCCUUCCACCCAAAUAAGGUCAGUGUUAUGUAUCCAGUCUCUUCCAUCAAGAGGACCGACUACUGACACAUCAGCAAAUCCAGGAGAAGUCACUUACACAAGAAACUGAUAAUCCUCAAGUCCCAGCUCCAAGGAUCCACGCCCAGUGGCUCUUCACAACCCAACCGGAACCAAGAGAGAACAAGCUUGUCCCUGGCCCAGACCAAAUCCUACUUGCUCAUGUACACACCCGUGACUAUGCCCAAACGGGCAUGGUCAGCGCCACGGUGCCUCUGGUAGGUCUCCUUCUACAAUCCAGUUCCUCUAUAAGAGCAGCCACUGAUCUUAACCACUAAACCAUCACUCCAGCCCCCAAACAGCUACUUUUAAAAAUCAGUGCUGUUCUUCCGUUGUGUAGGUCCCGGGAUUGAACUCAUAUUGUCAGGUUCAUCAGCAAGCACUAUACCUGAGCCAUCUCACUGGCUAGAGAAAUGAUUAGUCUAGAGGAUUCUGCCUGGAGGAAUGUAUUAAUCCAUCCAGGAUUAACAGAUCAAUGAGUCACCUUGGUGGGCCAGGACACUUGACUUCCAAGAUGUUGCUUGCAGCCAUCAGGACACCACAAGCAACCUGGAGAGAGGACGAGUAGGGGACAGAAAGUUCCUCAGGCCUCAUUGAACCACUGUAUCCAUCAGUCCCCGGACCUGAUAUCUCCUGGGACUGUUGUACAGGACGGGCACCCCACUGUAACCCCCAGCAGCUAACCGGGAUUGGUGGCUCUAAUAUCAAAAAGAAUUCCAGGACUAGCCAAUACGAGGUUCAGCUGAAGUUUAAUUAGAUGUUCCUAGCAUGAGGGUUAAAAGAGAAAGAGAGGCACUGAGAAGGAAGGGAGACCCACGGGAGAAGGUGAGAAUCUGAGUGUGGGCCUUUCAGGCAAGUGCAGGUCCAGGCUCCUCAUGGGGCAUCCCAGCCCCGUAGUGGUUUUGCAAUGGAUUUUGGAGGGGUUUGAAGUAACUACCUUCAAAGGGUUGCCAAGAAACCUAAGUGAGGUCACUGGGUGGUUCCUGAGGCGGCACCCGGCAGGGUUAAGAUGGAUGAAGCAGAAACCAAGCCACAAGGGUACAGGAAGGUAGGCUGUUUUUAACUGUAAACAGUUUAUAGUUUUGAGAGUCUCAGGAAAUAUCUGAGGAAAGGAAUAAUGCCCUUCCCAAGAUCAUAUGUGUUCAGACUCUGAACCUGGGUGGUUGUUAUUUGAACAUAAAGGACUAUUAUUUUUAUACUUGCAAAUUAACUCUAUCAGAACCUCUGGCGUCAGAGUUAUAGGCAGUUGGUGAGAUCUUUGACCUGAGUGCAAGGAACUGAACUCAGGUCCGCUGCAAGAGCAGUAAAUAUUCUUAACUCCUGAGCCAUCUUUCUAGCCCUUCUUGCUUGUAUUAGCUGUUUAGUUUGUUUGGUGGGUCUGGGUGCAUUUAUACCAUGACUCACAUGUAGAGAUUGGAAGACAAGUUGUGGGAGUUGGGACCAUGUGGGUCCCAGGAUCAAACUCGUUGUCAAUCAGUGAGUUUGGUAGUAAGCACCUUGCCCCUUUUAGCCAUCUCACCAGCCGUUCCAGUCUUGCUAUUAGUGACAUAACAGUUGAGCUGGGUGUUCAUAUCUCUACUUGCUAUGGUGGUUUGAAUGAAAAUGCCCCCAUUGCAGGGAAGUGGUGGCUCAUGCCUUUAAUUCCAACACUUGGGAGGCAGAGGCAGGCCAAGACAGCCCCCAAAGCUACAGAAAAAGAAACUCUGUCUUGAAAAACAAAAGAAAAAGAAAAGAAAAUGGCCCUCAUAGGCCCAUAGAGAGUGGCACUGUUAGAAAGUGUGGCUUUGUUGGAGGAAGUGUGUCACUGGGGGCCUGCUUUGAAGUUUCAAAUGCACAAGCCAGGCCCAGUGUUACUCUGUCUUCCUGCUGCCUGCUGAUCUAAAUGUGAACCUCUCCAGCUCUGUGUCUGCCUGCAUGCCUCCCACUAUGACAAUGAUGGACUGUAAGCCAGCUCCAAUGAAAUGUUUUCCUUUAUAAGAGUUGCUGUGGUCAUGGUGUCUCAUCACAGCAAUAGAAACACUAAGACACCUGCAUUUGGUGUAUUUGCUUUUUAUGUGUAUGGCUGUUUUGGCUAUAUGUGUAUCUGUGUACUGUGUGCAUGCCUGUGGCCUUCACAGACCAGAAGAAAUUGGAUCCCCUGGCCCUGGAGUUACAGAUGGCAGUGAGCUGCCAUGUGGGUUCUGAGAAUUGAACCUGGGACCUCUGGAAGAACAGCCAGUGCUCUUAACUGCUGAGCCAUCUCUCCAGCCCUUCCCCCUGAAUUUGUGAAGUGCUUGCUGCAUGCCAGGGCCUGUCCUGGGGCUUCAUGGGCACAUGUUUCCCAUGACUGCCUGUUCUGAGAGAUGUGACCUGUGACACCCUUUCUAUUGAAUUCUUGGGAGGAACUUAAAUUUUUCCAUCUCAGCUACUCACUGUGUGUGAACUAGAUAGUAAACUUCCCUGUUCCUUUUUUUGAAUCUGAAAACUGCACCUUGUUC